GACGAACGCUGGCGGCGUGCUUAACACAUGCAAGUCGAACGGAAAGGCCCUGCUUUUGUGGGUUGCUCGAGUGGCGCACGGGUGAGUAACACGUGAGUAACCUGCCCUUGACUUUGGGAUAACUUCAGGAAACUGGGGCUAAUACCGGAUAGGAUCUCCUGCUGCAUGUUGUGGGUUGGAAAGUUUCGGCUGUUGUGGAUGGACUCGCGGCUUAUCAGCUUGUUGGUGGGGUAGUGGCUUACCAAGUCUUUGACGGGUAGCCGGCCUGAGAGGGUGACCGGCCACAUUGGGACUGAGAUACGGCCCAGACUCCUACGGGAGGCAGCAGUGGGGAAUAUUGCACAAUGGGCGGAAGCCUGAUGCAGCAACGCCGCGUGCGGGAUGACGGCCUUCGGGUUGUAAACCGAUUUCGCCGGUGACGAAGAGUGAGUGACGGUAAUGGGUAAAGAAGCACCGGCUAACUACGUG
rnacentral:rRNA from 1 species